CUCACUAGUCGAGUGACACUGCGCCGAAAAUGUACCGGGGCUAAACAUAUUACCGAAGCUGUGGAUUGUCCGUAGGACAAUGGUAGGAGAGCGUUCUAAGGGCGUCGAAGCAUGAUCGCAAGGACAUGUGGAGCGCUUAGAAGUGAGAAUGCCGGUGUGAGUAGCGAAAGACGGGUGAGAAUCCCGUCCACCGAUUGACUAAGGUUUCCAGAGGAAGGCUCGUCCGCUCUGGGUUAGUCGGGUCCUAAGCUGAGGCCGACAGGCGUAGGCGAUGGAUAACAGGUUGAUAUUCCUGUACCACCUAGUAUCGUUUUAAUCGAUGGGGGGACGCAGUAGGAUAGGCGAAGCGUGCUAUUGGAUUGCACGUCCAAGCAGUAAGACUGAGUGUUAGGCAAAUCCGGCACUCAUAAGGUCAAGCUGUGAUGGGGAGGGGGAAAUUGUUUCCUCGAGUCGUUGAUUUCACACUGCCAAGAAAAGCCUCUAGAUAGAUAACAAGUGCCCGUACCGCAAACCGACACAGGUAGUCAAGAUGAGAAUUCUAAGGUGAGCGAGCGAACUCUCGUUAAGGAACUCGGCAAAAUGACCCCGUAACUUCGGGAGAAGGGGUGCUCUUUAGGGUUAACGCCCAGAAGAGCCGCAGUGAAUAGGCCCAAGCGACUGUUUAUCAAAAACACAGGUCUCUGCUAAACCGUAAGGUGAUGUAUAGGGGCUGACGCCUGCCCGGUGCUGGAAGGUUAAGAGGAGUAGUUAGCUUCUGCGAAGCUACGAAUCGAAGCCCC
rnacentral:rRNA from 1 species